rnacentral:rRNA from 1 species
UACGUAGGCAGCAAGCGUUGUUCGGAUUCAUUGGGCGUAAAGGGUGCGUAGGCGGCGCGGUAAGUCGGGUGUGAAAUCUCGGAGCUUAACUCCGAAACUGCAUUCGAUACUGCCGUGCUUGAGGACUGGAGAGGAGACUGGAAUUUACGGUGUAGCGGUGAAAUGCGUAGAUAUCGUAAGGAAGACCAGUGGCGAAGGCGGGUCUCUG